rnacentral:lncRNA from 1 species
AUUUGGUUGGGCUUUAGUGUGUGUUUGGGUUUUAAUUUGGAUUUGGAUUAAUUGAAUUCCUUGUUGGGUUUGGAUAUUUUGUUUAUUGGGCUUCUUGUCUUUUGGCCAUGUGUAUAGGGGGUAUUAAAGAAAAGGGUCUUUUUGGUGGGGAAAGUGAUACGUUGCGUGCUUGAUGAGUUGCUGAAGAUAGGCAGGAAAGAUGGGGGAUGUGUUGUUGGUUUUGGCGUAUGCCCAGUUUUUGGGAUUGAAAAUUUGGUUUGAUGCUCAGUUUAGGAUGCAAAUUUCAUUUGAUGCCCGUUUAACGGGAUUUGAAAAUUUCGUUUGUUUGCCCAGUUUAUGGGAUUAGAAAUUUCGUUUGGUAUUUGUCCAGUCUAUCUGGAGUUUGGAAUUUGGCAUAGUCAGUUCUUGAAAUUGGUAUGUCAAGUUCAUUUGGAAUUUGAAAUUUGCAUCCGUUCGGUUUAGCUGAGAUUGUGUGGUUUCGUUGAUUAUCUGCAGUUUUGCAUUAUUACCCUAUCUUUCGUUGUUAUCAUUGCAGUUUGUUAACAUCUUCAUGAAAUCCAAUUCGGUUUAUGGUUUUCGGCUUUUCGCUUUUUGUUUGUCAAAUUCCCGUUGCUUCUUGCUGUAGCAUCGUGAGUUCGAGGGAGGAUGUUAAUGUAAUAAGUAGAUUAGGUUAAGGGUAGUUUAGACUUUUCUCUUUCCUUAGUUUUGUACUAUAUAAACCAAUGUAAUCUCAUUUGUUAGCCCGAAGUUUGGAGGCCGCCCUUUUCUCCAUUCUUUACUGUCGUUUGCUUCUUCUCUUUUGUUUGUUUGUUUGUUUAUCACUUUGGUUUGUUGUGCAAAACUAAGGAAAGAUAAAAGUCUAAACUACCCUUAACCUAACCUACUUAUUACAUUAACAUCCCCCUUCGAACUCACGAUGCUAUAGCAAGAAGCAACGGGAGUUUGACAAACAAAAAGUGAAAAGCCGAAAACCAUAAAUCGAAUUGGACUUUAUGAAGAUGUCAAUAAACUGUAAUGAUAACAACGAAAGAUAGGGUAAUAAUGCAGAACUGCAGAUAACCAACGAAACCACACAAUCUCAACUAAACCAAAUGGAUGCAAAUUUCAAAUUAAAACCCACACACACACUAAAGCCCAACCAAAUAACUUUUGCCCAAUUAAAUCAACUGGCCCAAUCUAUAUUUUCCAGCCACCCAAAUUCCAAAAUCCAAUUGGUCCAUGACGUAUACAGUUUCAUGUAUGCCUAGGAACUAACCAAUGGAAAGAAACAAUAUCAUUAAGCUGGCCAAUAUCCACAUACUCAAGGACCCAAAACCAAUCUACAGCCCAUAGUCACAAAACGUGAUAAUGUGGUUCGUCUAACUGUUGACUCCUUGACCAUCUACUUCUGAAAAAUGAAAUAUAUUUUUUAGUUUAAUAUGUAAUAGUUACUCUGCAAAUCUUCAUUUUUCAGAUUACAGGAGAUCCCAUGUUAUUGUUAAUGUAUAUCAUUUUUCAGUCUAAUACGUAAUAGUUACUCUGCAAAUCUUCAUUUUUCAGAGUAUAGGAGAUCCCAUGUUGUUGUUAAUACAUAUGAACUUGAUCAUGA